rnacentral:rRNA from 1 species
GACGAACGCUGGCGGCGUGCUUAACACAUGCAAGUCGAACGGAAAGGCCCUGCUUUUGUGGGGUGCUCGAGUGGCGAACGGGUGAGUAACACGUGAGUAACCUGCCCUUGACUUUGGGAUAACUUCAGGAAACUGGGGCUAAUACCGGAUAGGAGCUCCUGCUGCAUGGUGGGGGUUGGAAAGUUUCGGCGGUUGGGGAUGGACUCGCGGCUUACCAGCUUGUUGGUGGGGUAGUGGCUUACCAAGGCUUUGACGGGUAGCCGGCCUGAGAGGGUGACCGGCCACAUUGGGACUGAGAUACGGCGCAGACUCCUACGGGAGGCAGCAGUGGGGAGUAUUGCACAAUGGGCGGAAGCCUGAUGCAGCAACGCCGCGUGCGGGAUGACGGCCUUCGGGUUGUAAACCGCUUUCGCCUGUGACGAAGCGUGAGUGACGGUAAUGGGUGAAGAAGCACCGGCUAACUACGUG